AGGUGAGUGUUCCUUGCCUCCCUCACUGCUCUAUGUGCAUCCUUCCCAAAGCUGCUCACUCAGAGAGGCUGAGCAUCCCCACUGAAGGAGGACCGUUCUUCGGUCUUGGAUAUCUGAGUAGUUGUGCUCUCCUGCUAGAACCUUCAAACAAGCUAUCUCAGGAAAUCCAACUGCUCCAAGAACACCAUGCUGGAGAGGUCAUGGGUAGAGUUCAGGUCGACAGUCCCAGCCGAGCCCAGCCUUCUC
rnacentral:sRNA from 1 species